UCAGAGAGUGCAUCUGUUGGUCACAGG
rnacentral:piRNA from 1 species